rnacentral:lncRNA from 1 species
UGAAAUGAAACCGUGCAGUUCUAGAAUUACGUAAGAAAAACAUAUUACAAUAUUAUUAUUAUUAUCAGUUUUAGGAGUUUUAGGAGUAGCAGCUCUCCCAGUGGUGGAAGCAGGGGAGACAACAAUACCACAAGGAAGGUGAAUACAUCAUUUCUCUGUGGUGGAAGCAGGGGAGACAACAGCAGUAGCGCCACAUGGAAGGUGCAUACACCCGUUCCCAUUCCUAGUGAUGGAAGCAACAGUGCCACAAGGAGGGUGAAUACACCCUUUCUCAGUAGUGGAAGCAGUGGAUUGUCAUUAUUGUUUUUUUUUCUUUGUUCUCUCUUUUUCAAGCAACACAUAUCAUUUGUCUGCACCCUUCAUGUGCAACUGCUGCCUCCGUUGUUUUCAUUGGGAAAGGGUGCGUGCAUCCACGUUGUGCAACUGCUGUUUUCGUUGCUUCCCUCCAUGUGAAUCCAUCCUUUCUCAGUGGUGGAAGCAGCGGAAACAAUAGUUGCACAAGAUGGAUGCACACACCCUUUCCCAAUGGAAGCAGCGGAGACAGCAACUACACAUGGAGGGUGCAGAUAAAUGAUAUGUGUUGCUUGAAAAGGAGAGAACAAAGAAAAGAAACAUAACAAUAAUGGGAAAAACACUUCACUUUCUUAAAAUGUUC